rnacentral:rRNA from 1 species
GACGAACGCUGGCGGCGUGCUUAACACAUGCAAGUCGAGCGGUAAGGCCCUUUCGGGGGUACACGAGCGGCGAACGGGUGAGUAACACGUGGGUGACCUGCCCUUAGCUCUGGGAUAAGCCUGGGAAACUGGGUCUAAUACCGGAUAUGACUCCAUGACGCAUGUUGUGGGGUGGAAAGCCUUGUGCGGCUAGGGAUGGGCCCGCGGCCUAUCAGCUUGUUGGUGGGGUGAUGGCCUACCAAGGCGACGACGGGUAGCCGGCCUGAGAGGGCGACCGGCCACACUGGGACUGAGACACGGCCCAGACUCCUACGGGAGGCAGCAGUGGGGAGUCUUGCGCAAUGGGCGAAAGCCUGACGCAGCGACGCCGCGUGA